GUGAAAAUAAUGAUUUAUUUAAAAAGAAUAUUAAAUAAUUUGAGCUUAAAAGAUUAAUCAUUCUUAAUCUUGUUUGUUAUCAUCAAAAUCAAUAUUAUGGAAACAUAUAUGUUAACAGUGGUGGCGGUGGUGGUGGAGGUGAAGGACCGUAAACGUGAGGUGGCGGUGGUGGGUGAGGAGCAUAUGGGUCUGCUACUGGUGGUGGUGGUGGUGGAGGACUUGGACCUGGACCUGGACGGUGGUGUCUAUGAAAUGCCAUGUUUUUGAAAGUUAGGUGAUCAAUACAAAGUGUUGUGCUGUUGUUUUUGUUUUAAGGGAUUUGGAGUUGUUCGUAUGUACACUAGAAACAUGUAUUUCCUUUGACGGUUUGUUGGAUGACGUGCAGAUGUUUGUGCCUCGGCUUCCUCAGCCAAUCAGAAUUUUAUUUUUGUCAAAAUUCGUUUCGUCUCCUCAUAUACUCCGUUUCAAGAGUGCAUAAUAUUUUAUUGACUAUUAUUAUUAUUAUUAUUAUUAUUAUUAUUAUUAUUAUUAUUAUUAUUAUUAUUAUUAUUAUUAUUAUUAUUAUUAUUAUUAUUAUUAUUAUUAUUAUUAUUAUUAUUGGUUUUGACUAUUUUAUGAUGUUUAGACUUUAGACUACAAGAUAUGAUGUCAAAAAUAGACCCAUGUAUAAUAAUAUUAUGUUGUUAUCUUUCAUUUUGAUAACAAAAUCUCUUCGUAUCAUCGCAGAUUAUUCAUUUUCAUUUUACGAAAAGUAAAAAAAAAAAGCAUGGUUGUAAAGAAACUGCACCAUUAAUUAAAUCGUGAAAAUAUUAUUAAUCAUUACUAUAUGAUUUUCUAACUUUCUAAUACCAGUAACCAUAUUAUAAUAUACUAACACACUUUUUUUUCAAUUACACCAAAUUAUUAUUAUUAUUAUUUUCAUAAUAAAUUGAAGCUGUAAUAAUAUUUUUAGCACCAUUCCAAUUUAUUCAAUAAAUAUAUAAUUUAUUAUUUUAUAAAAUAGGCGGCCUCUAACUCUAGUUGAAAAAAAAAGGAAAAAAAAUUGAAUCGAGAACAUGUUUGAGAAUACAACAAAAAUUAUACCAUUCAAAGAAAAAUUAUAAAACCUAAGGGGUAUUAACAAAAAUUCCUUGGACUAGGCCAGGCAAUGUCUGCCACUGGUGGAAAGUAGAUAUUUAUUUGCAUUUGUGGUUGUAAUCGAAAAUGGUAGGGAUAGUGAAUCUUUUAGGUGUAUUUCUUACGGGUGUCGUAAUUUUGACAUCGACUAAAACUUGUUUAAAUUUUGACAUUUUUAUUAGUGCAUUGAAUGUAACGUGUUGCUAUUACGAUGUAGGGAUGGCAAUAGGGAGGGGAGGGGAGGGGACCAAUCUCCCUAUACCCAUUCCUGAUAUUUUGUUAUGUCCCCGUUCCCUCCGCGUCCCCGUCAGAAUUGCUUAAGAGAAUCUUUAUCCCCUCUCUGAAUAAUAACAGGGGAUCCCCGAGGGUCCCCGGUCCCCGAAUAACUAAUAGUCUAAUACAUUUUUUUUUAUUUUUUUUUAAAUUAAUCAUAUUAAAAUAAAAAAUUCAGAUAAAAAUAAAGUUUAAAAUAUAUCUUGCAUUAAUAUUGAUCCAUUACAAAGUCACAUUCAAAAUAUAAAUUAUUAAAAUAAUUAUCUUUGUCAAUGACUCAAUCUUCAUAAUCCUACAAUAAAAAGAAAAAAAAUUAUUUUUAUAUCGGUAAUAAAAUAAAUAAAAUAAAUGUAGAUACUUAAUUAAUAUUUUUAAUAAAACUAUUUACCUCCUGCUCCUCCUGUUCUUCCUCGAGAAAUGUGGCAAAUUGAGAGCUAGUCUCAGAUUUCAAACCUAAAACAAUGAAAAUGAUAUAAGUAACGUAACUUAUAAGUGCAAAUAUUAAUUACUGUAUAAUAUAAUUACAAUGUAAAAUAAACUCAUACUGCUAUUGUAAGCUCGUAACCAACUUUGACAGCACAUUAAGGCCUCCAAUGUGUUUGGAUGAAGUUUGUUACGGUGUGCACUCACAACUCUACCACCGGUGCUAAAAGCUGAUUCAGAAGCAACUGUUGUAAUUGGAAUUGCCAAAAUAUCUCUAGCAAUUCGAGCUAAUGUAGGAUUCGAAUUAGGAUUAGAACUGUUGUAAAUUAUAAUUAGGCAGCUCUCUCCUGUAUCAUUGUGGUUUAGAUUAAAAAUUUAAGACUUUAAUUAGUUAAUUAAGUUUAAAAGUUUAAUAAUAUAACUAUUUUAAUAUUUAUUAUUUUUAACAAUAUUUAUAAUUUUGUUAUUUAUUUAUUAGUAAUUUUAAAAAUAAAAAUAAAAUUAAAAAUUAAAAUGGGGAAAUGGGUAGGGGAUGGGGAUUCCACCUCAUCCCCGUCCCCUCCCCGAAUAAAAAAUUGGGUAAAAAUUUUUCCCGUCCUCUCCCCGAAUAAAAAAUUGGGUAUAAAAUUAUCCCCGUACCCCCCCCCCCCCCGAAUGAGGAAAAUCCCCGAGGGUACCCGUCCCCGUGGGAAUUUUUGUCAUCCCUAUUACGAUGUCACGAAGUCAAGACUCUGUCCUGCUUUCUGCUUCGGCGUUUGUGAUUUGGCUUUGCCAACACCUUCUUCCCUUUCUAAUAUUGUAUUUCCUCCUAUGGUAGGGUGAAUAUUUACUAAUGCUGCAGUGCACACGUCACGAGAACUGGGCUUUCGGUUUGCACAGAUCGAACCCUGGGCUCUUGUUAAGUUUUAGCGCCCCCCCCCCCCCCCCCCAAUACCCAAAUACCAUCCAAACGGAUAAAUAACAACAAUGGAAAAUUCUCAUAGCACCUCUUUUAAAUUUUAUUUUUUUUUCCUAAAAAAUGAUGCUAUAAAAAAAAAACCAUAAUUUUUACUCUUCGAACCUAUCUUUAUAUUCAACGUAAUUUUAUUAAAUCCUAAAUAUAUUCUCAAGCAAUGGAUUUUUGUAAUCAUGUUUGUUCUUUUGCUGGAAUUUAAAUUGCAAUGGCAGCUAGGGGUGGGCAAUUUAUUCGACCUGAUCCAAUCCGAUUAAAAAAAAAUCAAGUUAGGAUCGGAUCAGAUGGAAGAUAAUAUCCGAACGGGUUGGCUAAAAAAAAAAACACACGCAAGACACUCAAACACCACCCACUCAUUCACACAGUCACACCACUCUCAGCCCACUCAAACUCAAACCUACAACAAUGAGCAGCCUACAGCCAACACUCUCGUCUCUCUCAACUCAACUUCACUACUUCAGUUCUCAUCUCGCUCUCGUCUCUCUCUCAAGUCUCAACUCUCGAGAUUCAAGAAAGAAAAUAGAAUUGUGACAAACACACUCUAAAAUAUUUUGCAAAGAAAUAUCAAAUGGAUGAAAAGAUAUAAAUGAAGGAUUCCUAAACCAACAGAAGUGGCAGUGCCUUUCUUUAAGCGCAUUCUCAAUCUUGCACGAGUGACUGAUGUUACUUACAAGGAUGAUAAUGGCUACACCAAUUCUUAUGUGAUCAAAGACUAUAUCACCCACUGCUUGAGAAGCCUGUUCUCUUUUGAGUAGUUUUUGCGAUGCAGAUUACAUCCUAUAUAAACUAUUAAUGUUGUUUUUGGAAUAAGCUCUGAAAUUUGUUCCUCAGAGAGCUUUUUUGCUGCUGUCAUCACAAUUAUCAAAUUCUUCCGUACAAUUAGUAAAGGCUUCCCUGUUUAUAUAUAUAUAAAUAAAAGAAAUCACCCAACAUAGUGUUGUUUAACUGAAAAAGGAAAUUCAAGCAUCCAAAAUCAAAAUAUCCAAAAUGAAAAUAAGGUACCUAAUACUUGAAAGAAAGGGAUAUUCAAUACCCGUUUCAAAUCGUGCAUAAUCAUCUAGCAUGGCUCUCAUUGUCCCUCUGCAGCGCCGACUUUUUCCAUUAUUUUCUGCCCUUCUUCACCUUCGUCAUGAACCGAUCAAGACCGAAUGGAUCAGCUUCUUCAGCCUCCUUCUCAAACUUAACCGGUCCGUCCCUCGUACCAGACCUCUCAGAUGUACCUGCAAAUGCCUUGUCGGGUUUAAACCGAUCAGUCUUUCUAAUCUUCUCCAACUGCUCAUCCGCAUUUGCUCCAUAAAUUUCAGCAUCAGCAUCUUUUUUGGGCCUGUAAAGGGUUGAAAGAGUCGGCUGUGCUGUAAACAAGCCUUUGUCAUACACAUUAUACUGAUCACCGUCAGUGGCAAAACCAGAGUCCAUUCCUUUCUUCUGAUUAAAAAGCCUUGCGUCAUGAGUAACCUCACCCGCUCUGCCUCCGCCACCAAAAGAGGCCAUCCCAAGGGCAACUUUCUCGCUAACAUCCCGAUCUCUGUCUCUAACAACCUUACUAUUCUUCUUCCCCAUAGCAACAUCCUUGGCCAGCAAAUUUCUCUCCCUCUUCCUCUCGCGACGUCUCUCCUCACGAAUUCUCUCCCUCUCCCUUUCCCUCUCCCUCAGCAAUCCCUGCUCGCUUUCCUUCAAUGUCUCCAUUGCCUUACGUGCUAAAUCCCGUAGCUGCUGCUCUUUCCUUUCCUUCUCCUUCGUGAGCAUCUCCAUCUGCACCUUGAAUCUUAUUUCAAUUGCCUCCCUCGCCUUCUGCUCUGCCAAAUAAAGAGCCUCCGACAAUUUAGCAAAUCCCUCAUUUACCUGAACCUCCAGAAGCCCUCUUCCUUCGGCAGCGAGCUGCUUAUCCAGCGGAAUUGUAAACCGCUGUGGGUUCUUCCAAUUUGAUAUACAUGGUGGGAUUCUCCAAUCCAGCUGAUCUUUCACAGUCAUAGGCCUAGGAGGGGAAUGCAUGACCGGUACUGGCGGAGAUCCCGAAGCUUUCGGCACACGCUUGUGCUUCAACUUUGGUGGCUCAAGUGGGUCCAAAGGCAUCGCCACCACUCUCAAAAUCCUCCUUUUUAGGGAUGGCAAUGAAUUGGAUUUGAUCCAAGAUCCAUGUAAUUCAAAUCCAAUCGGAUCGGAUUUGGAUCGGUUUAAAAUAGAUUUGGAUCAGAUGUGCGGAUUUAAGACGAAUCUGGAGUAGAUAUGGAUCUAUCGUAAUAUUUAAAUCCAUAUUCAUAUCCACUCAUCUUUUAAUUUUAUUUUAUUUUAAAAGUUUCUUAAUAAUUGUGGAAUGAUAAUAUGAUAAUAAAUUUUAUUCAUAGCAUAUAUAGUAGUAUUUACCAUGUAUUUAAACUCUUUUUUUUUUUUAGAAGAAUGUAUUUAAACUCUUAAAACUUAAAGGUUAGUUUUGUAAAUUUAAAGGUCAGCCAGCCUCAAAGCAUGUACAUGCAAUAUUCAAAUUGCAAUCCAAGUAAUAUAACCUGGUAAUUUAUUUUAUCAUAUUGGCCAAAUAAUUUUUAAGGAAUAUAGUUAUUCAUAUAUUUAGUCAAAUAUGGUCAUAAUAAAAAUAAUAAAGGACUGAAUAUAAAUCAUAUUUAAUUUAUAUGUCAUUAUUUAAUGUUGUAGGAAUGAGGGUAGGUGUAUCGUGGAUAUUAGAAUGAUGAAGGAGACAAUAGAAUAUUAGAUUGAUCUUACUCCUGCAAUUACUUCUAAAUGAUAUUUUAUUAUCUUUCUUAUUUGUUGUUUUGGUAUAAAAGUAUAAGCUACAAUAUUUAUUAUAUUUUUUAGAAAAAUUAUAUAAUUUAUUUGUUAUCAAUACAUUUUAGCCUUCAAUUUUCAAUCUAAAAAAUUAUUACUUUUUUAUUACGGAAUUUUAGAAUUCAUGAUGGAUCUAGAGCAGAUUUGGAUUUUAAUUUUUUUUCAGAUUUGGAGCGGAUAUAGAUAUUUAUUUCUUUUUUGGAUCUGGAUAUGGAGCGAAAAAUAUGGAUUCAUAACAGAUCUGGAGCAGAUAUGGAUCUUGAUUUUUAUUAUGGAUUUGGAUCUGGAACAAAUACGGAUCUUAAUUUUUAUUAUAGAUUUGGAUCUGGAGCAAAAUAAAUCCAACACAUAUCUACCUCAUUGCCAUCCCUACUCCUUUUAGCCCCAGAAUAGAAGUCCACCGAUUGUUGUGAUGGUCUGUACAUAAUAAAUUUGGACUCUAAUGACUGCGUAGGUGCAGCAUUCACAACACUGUUAACAAUCUUUUCAAGUUCAGCUUUUGUUACAGGAGUAGUCACGUCAAUCUCAUCUUCUUGAUCAGGAAAAGCGCUACCAUCAUCAUCAUCGAAAUCCUCAAGUUUCCGUGGAAGUAUCACCAUGUUACAAAGAUUUCUUGCUUGUCAAUCAAGCCUGUGAUUAGUCCCAAGCAAUUUAAGGGUUCCUCAAGGGCUGAAAAAGAAUCUUGUGUUUUUUGUUAUCGUACACAACCAGCAAAUUUCUCUCCCAGUAGCGGCGACUCUGUUUUAAGAUUUGCUAAUGCUAUGCUAGUUUGCUAACUUGUAGCGGAGGUAAUCUCACUAAUGCUAAAACUAGAUAUCCUGAUGUAAAAACUUUAAACACAAAAAAAGUGCUCGUUUUGAAAAAUUAUUUGAGAUUACAACCUUAUUUAUUAGUUUUAAUUAUUACUCAAAAAAGCUAUUACAAUAAUUGAAAUCCUAGUCAAAACUAAAAUAAUAAUAAAAACUAAUUAAUAUGGCAACAGAUAAGACAAAUCCUAAACAAAUUAGAAAUACCAAUUAAAAAGAGGAAAAUUUCGGAUUAGAACAAAAAGAAAGGGCAAUAAUCUUUAUCCGUAUCCGUAGAAAAUAAGGAAAAUUUUUUAUGUAGAUAAUAAAGACUUGCCCACGGUAGUGUCCUAAGAAAGUAAGGAAAACCAAUCUAUAUAAAGAGACUUGCCUGUGCUUGUCGAAAAGCAUUAUACCUUCUUCUUUUAAUUAGCCUGCUAGCUAGCUCCUUAGUAAUCAGUCCCAAAUUUUCAGCUUUCUUAACUUCUUCUCCGUUACCUUAUUCAUCAUCUUCAUUAAAACAAGAAAACAGGAGAAAAAAAAUGCCUGGUGUUUCAAGAAUUGAUAAGGGUAAUGGCAGAGUGUACCCUGGAUACCUUACCCCAUUCGUCGCAAUCACAUGUAUCGUUGCUGCCAUGGGUGGCCUCAUCUUUGGUUACGACAUUGGGAUUUCUGGUAAAUAUAUUUAUACUUACAUACAUAUUAACUAGCUAAUUAAGUACUGUAGUAUUGUGAAUUAUGAGUUAUGCUGACGGUUUAAUCAAAAUAUUAACCUAGCUAACUGCAUAAAUAAUAUAACGCAGGUGGUGUGACCUCAAUGCCUUCGUUUUUGAAGAGUUUUUCCCAUCGGUGUACGAGAAGCAACAAGUAAACUCGUCAGCGAAUCAGUACUGUCAAUAUAACAGCGAGUCGUUGACUUUGUUCACGUCUUCGCUAUACUUGGCUGCUUUGAUAGCAUCGCUUGUAGCAUCAUCGGUGACAAGGAAAUUCGGAAGAAAGUGGUCCAUGUUAUUCGGUGGGGUUCUGUUUCUUGCUGGUACAUUAAUCAAUGGCUUGGCCCAAGACGUUUGGAUGCUUAUUGUUGGCCGUCUUUUGCUCGGUUUCGGUAUCGGCUUCGCUAAUCAGUCUGUGCCACUCUACCUCUCUGAGAUGGCCCUCUAAAUACAGAGGAGCCUUGAACAUUGGGUUUCAAUUGUCAAUCACCGUUGGAAUUUUAGUGGCCAACCUGUUGAAUUUUUUCUUUGCUAAGAUUAAGGGUGGCUGGGGAUGGCGUUUGAGCUUAGGUGGUGCCAUGGUCCCUGCCCUUAUCAUCACCGUCGGUUCAGUUUUCCUCCCGGACACACCAAAUUCAAUGAUUGAACGCGGCCAGCACGAUGAAGCCAGAAAGCAACUUAGAAAAGUUCGCGGUGUUAAUGAUGUUGACGGAGAAUUUAAUGAUCUUGUUGCAGCCAGUGAAGCAUCCAAGCAAGUUGAACAUCCUUGGAGGAAUUUGUUGAGAAGGAAAUAUAGGCCUCACCUUACCAUGGCUGUUCUGAUUCCCUUCUUCCAGUAAUUCACUGGCAUUAAUGUUAUCAUGUUUUACGCUCCUAUUUUGUUCGACACAAUUGGUUUCGGCAAUGAUGCAUCACUCAUGUCCGCUGUGAUCACCGGUCUUGUCAAUGUUUCCGCAACAUUCGUAUCAAUUUGUACUGUCGACAAGUGGGGAAGAAGACGUCUUUUCCUUGAAGGUGGUGCUCAAAUGUUAAUCUGCCAGGCCGUUGUUGCUGCUUGCAUCGGUUAUAAAUUUGGAGUUGAUGGGAAUCCUGGAGAGUUGCCUGUUGAUGCUUAAAUCUGCUCGCCUUUAGACCGACCAGAUUCUUUCACCAACGUUUGUGUUAUCUACUGUUGCUCGUUCACUGGGAUUGGAAUCGUCCUUCUUUCUCACAAUAGACCUGCGCUCACCAAAAACGGAUCAGAGACGCCGGUGGUUUUGCCGGCGUAAACCCUCCGAUGCUUAAGUUAGCUCAAGGUGUUUACGGGAAAACAGUGCAAUUUAGAUCUCAAAAUGGUUUCUAAAUUAUUCGGAGUUUAUAAGAAAAUAGCCUGAUUUCAAUUUGGCAGCGUUUCCCCUCUCUCAAUUUUUCCAUCCCCUUCUUCAUCGAUUUCUUCUUCUUUUAUAGCCGAUGUCCCCACGUUCCCGCUUGCCCUUCAUCCCACCUUUUUUGGGUAGUGGUAGCCUCUCAUGGGGCUCUAACUGCUGCAUUAUGGGCAAACGUGGGAUCUCGCGUCUCCCGCAACGGUUCUGGGAAAGCACAACUACCGUGAUUCUGUGAGAUCGUGUUUCCGCUUUUCGGGGGACGGGUACCGGCUCGGUAUGUGGCUCUGGUCAGUAUUCGUCUCUGAUCGACUCAUGUUACCCCUGUUCUGCUCGUACCAUUUGGCUGAGGUGAUUCAUGCCGGGGUGGAAGUAGUAUCCUGGCCGACCUGGUGCUUUUAUUUGCUUAACACCAGUCCCCCAGUUUCUGGUCUUGUGAGUGAAAUGAGUCAAGAGUAGAAACUGAUAGUCGACUCUUACCAAUCCGGGGGUUUCUCCUCUGGUCUUCUGUCUACCGGGACGAACCUGAGCAAUUCAUUUUUCUUCGGGUGAGAUUUUGAUCUGGGCGUGGGCCUAAAUGAGCAUGUCCACUGCGCACCUGGGCUUGCAUCUAGCCCGGCCUCUUGUAACGGUUGGUGACAUGGCAUCUCCCGAUUCUUCGCAUUUGAAAUUUGAAACGACGGGCUAUCUGUCCUCGAUGUACGGUGAGUGAGCUGGCGUCCCCAUCACUUAAAUGCUUCCAUUUCCCCCCUUUUCGUUUUAAAUCCCUAGACUGGAGUCUUCACCAUCUUGUUACUCGUUUCUCCACCGUUAACCAAAUUUUCUCUGGACUUUGCUCACACUUCCAGCGUCCGGAGUAUCCAUUUGCUGGGUGUUUUCUCUGUCGCGGCGGCUCUAUCAGUGUCAGUCUAUUCCAGGUAUAGCCUUUAACAUUUUCUUCGGCUGUUGUUGAUUGGGUUCUGUGUUGCCCCUUUGUGUCCAUAUACUCGAGUUUUCUCUGUCUUCUUUUGGGAUUCCGGUAUGUCAAAUCGGAAGAGGAAGUUAAUUGUUGAUGAGGGUGAUGACGAAUCAGGGGAUUCAGGCCUCAACGUGCCAAUACCCACCGAUUUUUUAGGUCCCUCCAGUAGUGUAGGUCCUCCUCAUGGUAGGGAUACCCUUGAGUACCCACGCCCCCUGGUUGUCUCUCCCUCUCCCGAAUUAAAGCUUGUAGGAAAUAGGGGUGGACCUGCGUCGGGCUCUGGUGAGAACCACAGCUUUGGUGGGGUUGGGAUCCCUGAAGGAGUUGGUGAUGGUAAGGGGAGCAGUUCCGGACCGAGCAGACCUGCUCAGAAAAGGAACCUAGGCCAUAGGGUGGAGGCUGAUUCCUACCCUAUUGAUUUCAUGGCUUGUGCCACCACCCCCACCGAUCUAUUUAAACUUAGGAAUCUCUACAACAUCCCCAACGAGGUUCUUCUUGUAGUUCCUGGAAAAGGUGAUGUCCCUAGUCGGCCUCCGAAAUGGUAUGUGACGAUGCACUUGGAGAGUUUCAGACUAGGAGCUCGGCUACCCCUUCAACCUUACUUUGCCAAGAUACUGGGCGGUAUGCACCUGGCCCCAGGUCAGCUAUACCCAAAUGGGUGGAGGGUUCUCUCGGCAAUGUUUGUGUUGUGGGAGAGGUGCGGGUCGGAGGAGCCUUCUCUUGUUGAAGUGAAACAUCUGUACCAGCUGCGGAGUAGCCCGAAGGAGGCAGGCUGGUACUAUUUCAUGUCCAGUUCCGCAAAGAGGAAACCGAUCACUGGGUUUCCAUCUUCAUGUAAAAAUUGGAAGAACAAAUUCUUCUUUGCUGGAGGGAACUGGUGUCCAGCGGUUCAGUCGCUUGGUGGGGACAUUUAUCUUCCCACCCAUUUUGUCACUCCAGGUCGUUCAUUUUUGCCUAUAUUCUUUCUCAAAUUGCCACUCAUUGGGUUCUUUAACCUUGUUUGUUUUUUCAGAAUCGUGGGGUUUGGUGAAGGAUCUUGAAGACCGACCUUUGCUUCAGGUGGAAACUGCUCUGUUGAACGCGUCUACUUGCCAAGACCUCCUGUCGCCAACAAACUUGGUCGGUUCCCGCUUAGUAGAUAUUGCCACUGGAAUGGAUAACAAGAUCCUCAGCGCGUUGAGCAGAAAGCGUGGUCGGGCUCCGAGUAGCUCCAGCAACCCUCCUCCUCCUCCAAAGAAACCCAUCGUCGGUCCUUCCAAGGCGCCAGUUCCUGCUCUGCCCCCUCCUCCACCUCGAAAGAGUGGUGGGGAUAAAACCUCCGACAAGAGUCCUGAGGUCAGCUUGCAGUCUGGGGACCGCUCUUCUCCUCUUCCAUCUCGGGAUCAAGGUGACUACCUGAGCCCAUAUCAGAAGGAUUACAGAAAAUCGGUUGGGCCCAAGAUGGUGAAGGACAUCGAGAGCAUGAGCCUCUCCGAGUUAGCUGUUUCUGUUCAAAGAGUCUCCUUCAGGCUGGCCACAAUGGUCUCGUGCUACAAGACCGGGUCCGCGCGUCAUGAGAGGAAGCUCCAAGCUGAUAACCAGGAGUUGAAAAAGAAAGUCGAAUCUGCUGACCGUUCCAAGGAGAAACUGGCCGAGCUGAACAAGCAGCUUACGGAGCUUGAGGAGAAAGUUGCUGUUGCUGAGUCCACUUCCUCCAAGCUUGAGGAUGAGUUGGGUGAUCUGAAGUCCGAUCUUCAGGCUACCCAAAGUGAAAGGGAUACUCUGAGGGUCGCCCUUGAAGGAGAGAUCAAAUCCCUGAAGGACCAGCUGGCUGAGGAGAAAAGCAAAUCAGCUGACGUGGAUGAUCGGCUGGAUGCCGAGUAUGACUCCGGGGUUGCUUUCAGCUAUAAGUGCAUCAUGUCUGUGCUUAAGGAAGAAUAUCACGAGCUCGACAUGAGCAAGCUGGAAUCUGGGGUGGAGAGGUAUAUGGCUGGGGCCGGCUAGGGAGAUAAGGAGCAGGUGGAGGUUCCUUUUGAUGAGGUGCGGGAGGAAGGAGCUGGUCAGUGUGUUUUUGAAGUGGGACAAGGGUACGCGCCUCCUCCUCCCGUUAUUGCUGAUCUUCCACCUCCCGAGAUAGCCGACGCUUCUCCUGCUGAGGCCGUUGACCUUCCUAAUCCUUAGGUCUAUUUUUGUAAAAAACUCUAGAUUGUUAUUCGCUUUGUAAACAUUUGAACAUUUAUAAAUUUUUAAAUGCUCUCAAUUGGCUUUCUUGUCUGGUUUUGCUCACGGGUUGCUUCUGCAAAACAACUUGGCAAUUUAUCUGAUUUUGCCUGUUGGUUUUUUAGUGCAUUGAGCAGGAAUAGGCAUCCGUUUGCCUUAGCGAAAUUUUCGCAAAAUUGCCUGCUGGUCUUCGAUGACCGAGCAGGAGCGGACACUUAUUUGCCUUAGUAGAAUUGUCGUAAAUUUAGCUGCUGUUUUUCGUUGACCGAGCAGAGGUAGGCACUUAGUCGAAUUUUCGUAGCUUUAGCUGCUGGUCUUUCGUUGACCGAGCAGAAGAAGGCACUGAUUUGCCUUUGUAGAAUUUCCGUAGCUUUAGCUGCUGGUCUUUCGUUGACCGAGUAGAAGUAGGCACUUGCCUUAAUCGAAUUUUCGUAGCUUUAGCUGCUGGUCUUUCAUUGACCGAGCAGAAGUAGGCACUGAUUUGCCUUUGUAGAAUUUCCGUAGCUUUAGCUGCUGGUCUUUCGUUGACCGAGCAGAAGUAGGCACUUGCCUUAGUCGAAUUUUCGUAGCUUUAGCUGCUGGUCUUUCGUUGACCGAGCAGAAAUAGGCACUUUGUUGCCUUAGUAGAAUUGUCGAAGCUUUAGCUGCUGGUCUUUCGGUGACCGAGCAGAAACAGGCACUUUAUUGCCUUAGUAGGAUUUUUUGCAGAAUUAGCUGCUGGUCUUUAGUGGACCGAGCAGAAGUUGGCACUUACUUGCCUUAGUAGAAUCUUCGUAGGUUUAGCUGCUGGUCUUUCGUUGACCGAGCAGAAGUAGGCACUUACUUGCCUUAGUAGAAACUUCGUAAAUUUAGCUGCUGGUCUUUCGUUGACCGAGCAGAAGUAGGCACUUGCCUAGGUAAAACUUUUAUUGAUUAGACUAGCAGGGGGAUUUCAUGCUGAAUUCAUCUUUAUUUGAAAUUUGAAAGCAUUACAAGAAUACUGGAUACAUACAUGUGCAGCAAAGCCAUGAUGCAGUUAACAUUGAUAUCUUGUCAAAAUGGAGAUUUAGUAGAGCACUUUGCUUACUGGAAAUACUUCUUCAAGUGUUCGGCGUUCCAUGACCUCUUCACUUCUCGUCCAUCUUGGUGUGCUAAUUUAUAGGCUCCUGGUCCAGUGGCUCGUAUCACCCGGUACGGGCCUUCCCACUUUGGGCCAAGAGCGCCAUGAUUAGGAUCCCUGGUGUUCUGGUUCACCUUCCUAAGUACCCAAUCUCCUGCUCGGAACUGCCUCACGCGCACGUUCUUGUUGUAAUAACGCAUGACCCUUUGUUGGCACUGGGCCACUUUCUGCACUGCCCCUUCCCUUUUCUCCUCCAGCAGGUCCAGACUUAAGCAAAUCUGCUCGUCAUUUUGCUCCUUAGUGAAAUAUUCCGUCCGAUGUGUUCUCACUCCAACCUCUGCUGGGAUUACCGCCUCAUGACCAAAGGCUAAAGCGAACAGUGUUUCUCCUGUGGUGGUUUUGUGAGUUGUCCUGUAGGCCCACAGUACUCCUGGUAGCUCGUCAACCUAAGCUCCCUUCUUCUCUCCCAAUCUAGUCUUUAGGAGCUUCUUUAUCACCUUGUUGGCUGCUUCCACUUGUCCGUUUGCCUGGGGGUGUGCGGGGGUGCAGAACUUCAGGUCCACCCCCAGGUUUCGGCAAAAUUCCCUGAAGUUGCCGUUGUCAAAUUGCCUCCCAUUGUCCGUGAUGAUGGCGUAGGGGAUCCCAUAUUUGCAGAUGAUAUUCUUCCAAAUAAAAUCUGUUGUCUUCCUCUCCGUGAUCUGGCUGAGGACUCCUACUUCCACCCACUUGGUGAAGUAGUCUAUUGCCACAAUUGCAUGUGUCGCCGCUCCUCGUCCCUUAGGCAAUGGACCAAUCAAGUCGAUUCCCCAUUGAGCGAAAGGCCAUGGGGAUGUCAUAGCCGUCAGCUUUUCCGGGGGUUGUGCAGGAACCUCGGAGAAGCUUUGGCAUGUUUUACAAUUCUUUGCCAUCCUUUUGGCAUCCUGGUGCAUGGUUGGCCAGAAGUAUCCUUGCCGGAGUGCCUUGAAGGCUAAAGUUCUUGCUCCCGAGCGAUUGCCGCAUAUUCCCUCGUGAAUCUCUCUCAGCACAUAAUCCGCCUCCUCAUCAUCCAAACAUCUCAAAAGGGGCAAGGUGAACCCUCGGCGGUACAGCACUCCAUCCAGUAGCGUAUACCUUGCUGCUCGGCAUUUUAAUUUUCUUGCUUGCCUUUUGUCCUAUGGUAAAACUCCAUCGCGGACAUAUGCGCGAAUCGGGUCCAUCCAGGAUUCUCCAGUACUUACUCUCAUCACCUCUGCUUCUUCCUCAAUACUUGGUGAGGUCCUUACCUCUAGUGGAACUGACUUCGGUAACUUUGGAUCUGCAAUGGCUGCCAUCCUAGCCAGCAUAUCUGCUCGGAAAUUCUCAUUCCGGGAUAUCUGCUUUACCUCCACUGCUUGGAAAAGCCCAACCAUCUGCUUCGCCUUCUUUAAAUAAAGACCCAUCUUCUCUCCCCUUGCUUGGAACUGAUCAUUGAGCUGAUUACACACCAGUUGGGAAUCUGCUCGAAUUUCUACCCUCUCUGCUCUUAGAGCGUGUGCAAGUCCGAGCCCGGUGAUAAAGGCCUCAUAUUCAGCUUGGUUGUUUGUGAGCUGAAAGUCAAACUUCACUGCAUACGUUAUUUCGGUUCCUUCUAGGCUCUGUAUUACAACUCCUGCUCCGGAUCCUUGCUCACUACAUGAUCCGUCAACCAUUACCAACCACAACCCCUCUGGUUUCUCCUGCUCUGCUGCUUGCUCCUCCCGAAUUUCUUUCCCUGUAUCGGCUCGGUCAACCAUAAAUUCAGCCAGAGCUUGGGCCUUGAUUGCUCCUCGGGGCCUGUAAGAGAGGUCGAAUUCACUUAGCUCUACGGACCAUUUUACUAGUCGACCCGAUGCAUCUGGUUUUUGAAGUGUUUGCCGAAGGGGCUGGUCGGUCAUAACAAUAACCUGAUGGGCCUGAAAAUAUGGUCGAAGUUUUCGUGCUGCCGUUAUUAGAGCUAGCGCCCACUUCUCCANNNNNNNNNNNNNNNNNNNNNNNNNNNNNNNNNNNNNNNNNNNNNNNNNNNNNNNNNNNNNNNNNNNNNNNNNNNNNNNNNNNNNNNNNNNNNNNNNNNNNNNNNNNNNNNNNNNNNNNNNNNNNNNNNNNNNNNNNNNNNNNNNNNNNNNNNNNNNNNNNNNNNNNNNNNNNNNNNNNNNNNNNNNNNNNNNNNNNNNNNNNNNNNNNNNNNNNNNNNNNNNNNNNNNNNNNNNNNNNNNNNNNNNNNNNNNNNNNNNNNNNNNNNNNNNNNNNNNNNNNNNNNNNNNNNNNNNNNNNNNNNNNNNNNNNNNNNNNNNNNNNNNNNNNNNNNNNNNNNNNNNNNNNNNNNNNNNNNNNNNNNNNNNNNNNNNNNNNNNNNNNNNNNNNNNNNNNNNNNNNNNNNNNNNNNNNNNNNNNNNNNNNNNNNNNNNNNNNNNNNNNNNNNNNNNNNNNNNNNNNNNNNNNNNNNNNNNNNNNNNNNNNNNNNNNNNNNNNNNNNNNNNNAGAUGCUUCACAUGAUCCGUCGUCUCUUUGGACUUUGUAAUCAUAUCAUCCACAUAUACCUCCAUAGUGUAUCCAAUCAACGGUUUGAAGAUCUUGUUUACCAACCUUUGAUAGGUGGCUCCUGCAUUUUUUAGGCCGAAAGGCAUUACCCUGUAACAAAACAAACCCAUGUUAGUUAUAAAGGCAGUGCUUUCCUCAUCCUGCUCGUCCAUGGGUAUCUGGUUGUAUCCAGAAAAGGCAUCCAUGAAACUGAGCAGACUGUGACCUGCUGUUGAGUCCACCAGCUGAUCUAUUUUGGGUAGGGGAAAACUGUCCUUUGGGCAUGCCUUAUUGAGGUCCGUGAAGUCCACACACAUUCUCCACUUCCCGUUGGCCUUUUUUACCAGGACUACAUUUGAAAUCCAUUCUGGGUACUUGGCUUCCCUUAUAAAUCCUGCUUUCAACAACUUCUCCACCUCGGCGUUUAUGGCCUCGUACCUUUCCUGGUUGCAGCAUCUCCUCUUCUGUCUCACCGGCCUUGCCCCCUUCUUGAUUGCCAACUUGUGGCAAGCUACCCCGCGAUCAAUUCCGGGCAUAUCUUCAUGAGACCAGGCGAAUAUAUCCGCAUGAGACUGUAGGCAAUUUACCAGCUCGCCUUUUACUGCCCCAAUCAAUCCUGACCCGAUCUUCACUACUCUGCUCGGGUUGCUUUUGCUUAUCGCAACUUCCUCCAGUUUCUCAACAGGCUCUUGGCGGCCCUUUUUAGACUCUCCUCGAUUAUCUAGAGAAGUAACCUGUAGUGUCUCCUUGGCCGCCGUAGCUUAACAACUCCUUGCCACCCUCUGGUCGCCUUUUACUACGCCAACCACCCCAUUUAUUCUGUAUUUCAGCGCCAAGUAAUGCGUGGAUACAACGCAUUGGCUUAUCCUCAUGAAUGGUCUCCCCAGUAUCAUCUGGUAAGGGCUUCUUUCCUCUACCACGACGAAGUCCAGCAUCAUCGUUCUUUCAAACGGCUUUGUCCCCACAAUAAUCGGGAGUUCAAUGAUCCCCAAGGGAGUUAACUGUCCCCCUCCAAAUCCUUUUAAGGAAGUAUUUGUCCGUUCCAGCUUUAAAUCUGAAAUCCCCAUAUCAUCUAGGGCUGACUUAAAUAGAAUGUCAACUGAACUGCCCGUGUCCACCAGUAUUCGCCGCAAUUCUGUGCUAGCCACCGAUGCUUUAAUUACUAGUGCAUCCUCAUGAGGAUAUAAAAUACCCUCUUCAUCCUCAUCUGUCCACAUAAUGGGAACUUGUCGCGCUUUUGCCUUCUUGGUUGCUGGCAAAUUGAAAAGCACUUCUUUGCUAGUCAGGGCGUAUCUCCCAUAGUUCUUCCGUGCCCUGUUCGAAUCUCCGGCCAAUGUUGGUCCUCCUGCUAUCACACGGAUAGUCGGCUGUUCACGUUCCAGAUCCCUCUCAACUCCCUCAUCCCGUGUGUACUGUGAUUCCAUGACAGGGGAUAUUCCAUCUACAUACUCGUCCAAGUAUCGGUUCCUCACUAAAUCCUCCACCUGAAUCUUCAGGUCACGACAUUGGCUGAUAGUGUGACCGUGAGUGUCGUGGAACUUGCAUAAUCGGCUCUUAUCCCGUCGGUGAGUCGGUUUUAUUAUUGGGGCUGGAGGGUACAACAGGCCUCGUCCCUCGAUCCUCUCAUACAAUUCCUCCAUGGAGAUCUUUAGCGGAGUGUAUUGUCUAUAUGCCAAGCUCUGGUCUACCAGCUGAACUGCUCGGCUAUCAUGAACGUCACCUCGGGAUGGCAUAGUCGCUGACUGAUCUGGUCGUCUAGCCCUGGAACUGGUUACGUGUAAUGCUCUGGGAGUGUUAUGAUAGCGGUCGGCAGCCAUCUGCCGGAAUUCUCGCUGCCGAUCCGGGAAUGGGGGACGUGGAGGUUGAGCCCGGUUGUGCUGGAACUGUUGUGAUCUCGGAGUUAUGGGGUAAGGGCGGGAUCGAGCUGAUGUUCCGCCCCUUACUGAGGGUUCCCCAGCUCGCUUUCCCGACCCGCUCCCAUUUGGAGUUCUCAUUUCCUUUCGUCUCAGCUCCUCCAGCUAUUCACUCUUUAUCUUUGCCGAUUUUUCUUCUUCGAUUUCGAUAUCUCUCUUUGCCUGCUCAUAUCCUGCUGAAUAAUUCUGCACCAGGGGGCUUCUCAGGUUAUACCAUAGCCGGCCUAUCCUCACACCCUCCUUUAAACCCCUCAACACCUGCGGGUGAUUGAAAGCUCCCAAAUCAAGUACGGCUCGGUGGUAUCGCUUUACAAAAUCCCGUAGGGACUCGUGCUCCUCCUGUUUCAUCCCCAUCAGUUCCAUCAUGUCGUCCUCUAGGGCUACUGCCCCUCGGAACUGCUCGGCCAACUCCUGGCACAUCUGCUCAUACCCCUUUAUACUUCCUCCGGGCAGCUUGCGGUACCAUUCUCGAGCUCGUCCCUCUAGUGUCAACGGGAACGCCCUGCAUCUCUGAGCUGAUGUCAGCCCCUGCACACCCGUCAUAUCGUUGAAACGCUCAAUGUACACCAGUUGGUCACUUCGCCCGGAGUAUUUGAGGUUGGGGAAGCGGAAAUCUCUUGGGAUUAUGAUACCCAUGAUCUCGAUUGAUAACAGAGAUUCUUCAUCUAACAUUAUCCUCCAGCUCGGGGGCUUUCUCUUGCCUUGUAUCUCCUCUAUCACCUGCGCCAACCUGCGCACCUCCCCCUCCAAUUCUAUAGCACGGCUAGGAUCACGCGCAGCUAUCUGGUCUCGCUUCUGCUCAGCGUUCUGCAACCGCUGUCUGAGCUCUCCUUCAUCAACACUGGCACCUCGGCCAGUAGUUUCCAGUACCCAUCCGGGGCGAGUUUGGUCUCUCCCUUCAUCCCCGUGUUCUCCUGGGACCCGGCCAGUACUUCUGUGGGGAUGCACCCCAUUAGGUUGGUCUGCGGGCGGAGGAAUGUCCUCGACUCUACGUCUCCGGAGGCUGGGUUCUGCUCCGACUUCAUCUCUUCCCACGGGGGUUUCACAAUCCCUUCUCCGCUCAUCCCUCAGCUCAAACAAUAUGGACGUGAGAGUCUCCAUUUGUUUCUCCAUCCGCUCCAGUCUGUCUUGCAUCAUCCUCUCUCGGGCUUCAUUCGCAAUUUCCCGGAGAGUGAUUGUCUCCCCAGCCUCGUUAUCCUCCCCAAAAGCGUCCUUUCUCGUCACAUCCAUGUCCAACCGUUCGCUAUUUCUCCGGUACUUCCUAAUUCGGUGGUAGCUUUUUAUCCAGCUCCCCACAGACGGCGCCAAAAUGUUGAUGCUUAAAUCUGCUCGCCUUUAGACCGACCAGAUUCUUUCACCAACGUUUGUGUUAUCUACUGUUGCUCGUUCACUGGGAUUGGAAUCGUCCUUCUUUCUCACAAUAGACCUGCGCUCACCAAAAACGGAUCAGAGACGCCGGUGGUUUUGCCGGCGUAAACCCUCCGAUGCUUAAGUUAGCUCAAGGUGUUUACGGGAAAACAGUGCAAUUUAGAUCUCAAAAUGGUUUCUAAAUUAUUCGGAGUUUAUAAGAAAAUAGCCUGGUUUCAAUUUGGCAGCGUUUCCCCUCUCUCAAUUUUUCCAUCCCCUUCUUCAUCGAUUUCUUCUUCUUUUAUAGCCGAUGUCCCCACGUUCCCGCUUGCCCUUCAUCCCACCUUUUUCGGGUAGUGGUAGCCUCUCAUGGGGCUCUAACUGCUGCAUUAUGGGCAAACGUGGGAUCUCGCGUCUCCCGCAACGGUUCUGGGAAAGCACAACUACCGUGAUUCUGUGAGAUCGUGUUUCCGCUUUUCGGGGGACGGGUACCGGCUCGGUAUGUGGCUCUGGUCAGUAUUCGUCUCUGAUCGACUCAUGUUACCCCUGUUCUGCUCGUACCAUUUGGCUGAGGUGAUUCAUGCCGGGGUGGAAGUAGUAUCCUGGCCGACCUGGUGCUUUUAUUUGCUUAACAUUGCCCAAGUGGUAUGCCUUUGUGGUCGUAAUUUUCAUUUGCAUAUACGUUGCCGCGUUUGCCUGGUCUUGGGGUCCUCUUGGAUGGUUAGUGCGCAGUGAAAUUUUCCCACUCGAAAUCCGGUCAGCAGCACAAAGCGUGAAUGUUUCUGUGAACAUGGCAUUCACAUUUUUGGUUGCACAAGUAUUCUUAAACAUGCUUUGCCAUCUCAAGUUUGGCCUGUUCAUUUUCUUCGCAUUCUUCGUCGUGCUGAUGACCAUUUUUAUCCACUUCUUCUUGCCCGAGACUAAAGGAAUUCCAAUCGAAGAAAUGGGUCAAGUGUGGAAGAAUCAUUGGUUCUGGUCCCGUUAUGUUGGCCAAGAUGAUUUCCUCGCCAAUGGAGGCCUAGAGAUGCACAAAGAAGAAACUGAUGUCAACAAUGUCUGAUCUGCAUGCUCAACUCCAUCCGGAUUUUUGUUUAGUUUCUAUUUUUAUUUUUUAUAUUUUUUAACAGUAAGUAGUAGUAGUACAGUUAUUCUGUCGGUUUAUUAUUCUAGCCUUAUCAAUGCCUUUUCUAUUCGACUUUAGUAGUGUUUAUUACAAUUUCUAAAGAAAUUAAUUUCAUGUAAGUUUUUACUUUAAUCAUUUUCCUUGUUUGGGUUCUCUGUUUUUCCUUUUUUUUUUUUUUUUUCAUCAGAAAUCGUCACUCUUACAAUUUGGACCAAGAAAUUCUUCACACAGGAAUCUGAAGAAAAAUUAACAAGGAUUGAAAAUUUUGACUUAUUGUUUAUCUUUUUUUUUUCUUUUCUCUUUUCCGUCUUCUCUUCUCAUUAAACAGACAUUAAGGCAAAAUUAAUAAAUUAUUUUAUUAUUGGUCUUAUCGUGAGUAGAAAAUCAUUGGUGCAAAUUCAAUUAUUUAGAUCAACAGAAAUUUUGGGAUAUGAAUCAAUGAGAAAAUUUUAAGUAUUCCUAAAAUAUUAUUCCUAUUUUAUCGUGAGUAGAAUAUGACCACCUUAUAUUAACUCAAGCUUUUUAUUUAAAAUUUUAACAUAAAUUCUCAUCUAUAAACUUUGUGGCAAAAUCUUAAGUUGAAAUAGGGAGAAAAAAAUCUAAAGAAUGUAUAAAAUUUGUAGAAAGAAAAGCCGCACGUGAGAUAUGUCAAAAUCAAAAUUCAUCAAUACAUCAAAUUUCAUAUACAUGGCAACUUAAACUCGCACAGUUCAAUGUCAAAAUUUAACUUUUAUCAAAAAGUAACGUUGCAUCCUCAUUUUACCUUUAACUCUAAGAGGUGUUGCAAUGGCCAAAGUAGCCAGUCAAUCUUUCUUUUGACGUUAUUUAAUCAUUCUGUACAGCAGAACACCCAUCAACUACUCUCAUCCUGGCCAUAGCUGCCUGCAUUGAGGAGUUGCUAAAGUUUAACAAUGAAAAAUAAAGCAACGAAAAAAUAAAUUUAACUUGAAUUAAUCAAGAACCUGUUUUUUCCAGUUUGUGAAAGUUGUAGCAAGAGAAAGAAGGGUGGACUGCACAACAGAGCCAGCCACUAUUCCGAUCCAAAGUCCCUUUCCUCUUAAAUGUGCUACAAAACCCAACACGGCACCCACUGGCAACCCAACUAAAUAAAAUGCCCCAAGGUUUAUGUACACCCUAUAUGCUGCCAUCCACACCCUUUCGCAACCCCUAUUGCAAACGUAGAAUCCACCUUUAUUAAGAAAUGAAAAUUUGAACCGCAUUUGAAUCCCAGAUGUUUUGUGGUUUGUGUAUUCAAGAGAUAAUUACCAACUGAUCUAGUCAACACCAACCUCUUGGAUGUAUACUUUAUAUGUGUGUGUCUAUAUAUAUAUAUAUAUAUAUAUAUAUAUAUAGCAUGUAUCUAUUUAACUAUUACGACAUUUACCAAAUGAUAUAUAAGUCAACAGUGACUCUUCAGUCUCCCAUAUUAUUAUCCAACAAAGACUUUAAUUGAAAGAAGUGUAAUUAGAAAGCAACUACUAACCAGAAAAAACAGCUUGUAAGCUGUCUGUAAUAACUGAGAGACAAAUCAGAGGAGCCAUAACAACAACAUAAUGCACAACUUGGUUGUCUUUGGUGUAAGCGUAACCCAAAAAAUAGCGGCAGCAGAAGAGGAUCGUGCCGACUAUCACUGCCUCUACCACAGCAUAACUUGUUGCAGCCCAUACAGCCACUCUAGCUGCUUGCAGAUUCCCAGCUCCAAGCUCAUUUGAAACUCGAGUACUAUACAUGACAUAUAUAUUAACAUGCACAUAGUCAAAUGCUAGCCUGCUCCAUUUGUAUUAUUUUAAAAAAAAUGCAAAUCACAGGGAGCAACCAAAAGCAAGAAAAAAAAAAGACCUUGCAGCUACUCCAAAAGCAUAUGGUAUUGUGAAGUGCAAUGUUGAAAUUGUAAGGCUGAUCAUAAAACAACAACGAUUAGAAGCAUAUACAGUUUAAUUCUAGGACAAUUUAUAAGUCAAAAUUAAAUAGUUAUAACUAAAAUAGGAGCUAAUUACCAAAUUGAAAGUACUGAAGUCUCCAGCUUGGGAUUCGGUAAAAGGCCGGAUAACAAAAUUAAGAUCUCCAUCGACCACCAUUUUAGACUAAUUAAUCACCAUAAUCGAUCACAAUAAGAGAGAGACUUUUGAGAUUAAAAGAGAAGAAACAACACAAAAAGCAAAAUUACCAUUCUAAGAGAUAAGAGGAAUAAUUACCAAACCAUUAUGGCAGAAGGUAUAGCCAAGCGAAAGAACUGUCCAAUGGCUAGUAAAGAUUCUUUAGAAACCGGCGCGCGAGUUUUCUCACAAGCUGAGGAGUACAUCAUGUACAAUCCGAGCAGUAUCACAUUCAACCAAGUUGAUAGACUGAAGGCUAGAGCUGCACCCAUGCUUCCUAAUUCUAGUUUGAACACAAGAGUCCAGCACGCAGGUAUAUGAAAACAUAGAAUUAGAAAAGAACUUGCAAACAUGGGAAGAAUCAAGCUCUGAGUCUGAAAGUAUCGGGUUAGUGGUUUCAGGAUUGCACUCCCGAAUAAUGCAGGGAUUAGCCACAUUGAAUACUUGCGUGCUUCGUGGGAGAUUACAGGAUCUUGGCCUAUUAGAGGUAACAAUUUGUCCAUAAAAAUCCACAACAGGCAAACUAGAGGGCAAACAAGAAUCAACGAAAUUAUGGCAGUGUAAGUAUGAACUCCAAGCUUCCGAAAUUGUGCUGCUCCAUAAGCUUGCCCACAUAGAGUUUCCAAUCCACCAGCCAUUCCUGACUGCUUGGCAAGUCCAAAUUAAAUUCAAUCAUUAAUCAUCAAAAUUAUCUCUAGGAUUAAUUAAACCUGAAGAUGAAGGUAAUGUGAGUAGAGAGCAGCAAACUUACUAGAAGACUAAAGCCGGUAACAUUUGUGAGAGAGGUGGCAAUGGCUACACUAGACAGGGCAAGCUGGCUUAGAUGUCCCACCAUUACCGUUGACACAACUUGCAGAAGGUACUGCAACACAGAGACUGCCACCAUUGGUGCCGCGAUACGGCCAGUCUUCUUCAGCUCUUCCAUAAAUCCACCCCAUGUAAUUGCCCAUCUCUUCUCCUGGCUCUCUCCAACUUCCAUAUCCAUGCAAAAUUGAUAAAUGAUAAUAAUGAUGGUAUCUUAGUUUGCUUUGCCACUAUUAAUAAAAAGAGCCAAUCCAAAGAAACACGAAGUUUGUAUGCUGUCCUCUGUUUUGGCUUUACUUGAGAAUUCAAUAUUAACGAUUUUAUGUUUUGACUGUUCAAAAGAGCAUGCCGAGAGGUUCAAAUUAGUGGACUCUAAUUCCCAACUUUCUGUUGUUUAUAAUCAUUAUUAUACAUUCCCCACGAGCACGGCACAGACAUGAGUAAUGCGGCAAGGGUGCGUUUCGCACACUGCAUUGUAUUAUGUUGUAUUGCAUUAUUUUAAUAUUGGUGUAUUAUAUUAUGCUGUAUUGUAUUAGCAUUGUAUUAUAAUAAUGUUAUAUAAUGUUUGGUGUUAUACUGUACUGUAUUAUUUUUUUAAUUAAUUUAAAUUAAAUAUUAUAUUAUAUUAAUGUUUUAUAUUAUAUUAAUAUAUUUAAAUUGCAUUAAUAUUUUAUGUUAUUAUUUAUAUUAUUAUUAAUUUUAAAUUAAUAUUAUUCAAAUUUAUUCAUAUUUAAAUAUUUUUAUUAGUUAUAAUAAGUUAUAAAUUUAUUAAUAAAUUAUAAUGUAAAAAUAAAAAAUAUACUAUUAUUGAAUGAUAAAUUAUUAAUUUAUUAAUUAUAUUAAUAAUUAUAAUGUAAAAAUAAAUAAAAUAAAAAUAUUAUAUUAAAUUAAAAACCAUAUUUAUUUAUUAUUUUAAUAUUAUAAUAAUAAUAAAGUGAAAAGCAAAAUAAAAUUAAAAAAAAAAAAACAAAGCUAAUGCGUCAGUUGACGCAUUAGCCUCCCACCCCAAUCCCUUGCAAUUUUAUUCCAAACAUAGGUUUGGUAUUAUGUUAAUGUAAACAGUAUUAUAAUAUCCCCUUAAUACUAUAAUCAAACACACCCUAAGAUAAUUGCUGGUGUUUAAUCGGUCAGAUUUUUCAUCUUUUCUCGAUCUUUUGAAAAAUCAUAAUAAUGAUUAUAAUAGAUCCCCAGACACGUAGAUGGGAUUGAGAUUUUGUCUGAUAUGGCUUGAUUUGAAGUAUUUUUUUAUAUCUGCAAUUCUGCAUAUAGUAAGUACAAUCAUAUCUUCUGAGUGAUAGACUUCAUUUUUGGCCGUUCUGAACAAAAACUAUGUUCAAUGACAGUACUGAACUCUAAAUUUCAGUGGAAUAUAAUAAAGGAGAGGAAUAAAAAAGCAUAUUGCAAAUUGGAUGUACUCUCUCACAUCUGAAUCAUUUAAUAAUUGCUUUUGGAAGCACAUUUUUGACUAGUUACUACAUAAUAUCAGCUUAGAAGAAACAGAUGCGAUUCCCCUAGUGGCUUUCAAAUUGCAAUCAGUUGUACGCGAGCGAUUCCUUAACAGAUGAGAAGAAAGAAAAAUGGCAAAAAAGGAAAAAAAACAAUUCUGAUGUUUUCAGGAGUCAGUAGAUGCUGUUGAAAUACAUAUUUUUCACUGUCCUCCCCUUAACUAUGUUAGACUUUAUGUCUAAAUUCGCACUUGUCUCCCAAGAUUUUGAUGGACUGUUAACAUGGAUGACUAAAUGAAUAAAAAUACAUAGACGCCCCUGAUUUGAAGCAAAAUCACCAUGCCAGGAAACAAAACAGCUCGUGUAUAAAGAGAUGACAGUGUUAAUUUCGACAAAAAGAAACUGUGGGUUGGACAAAAUCCAUGAGAGGAUAGUGAAAAAUAUAUAUUUUGAUAUAAUGUAUAUAGUAUAUCAUUUCAAAACUCAAAAGUCGUUUCGUUCUUUAAAAAAAUUCCACUGCUUUAAAAUUAAAAAUCACAUUUAUAAUUAAUUUUUUUAUCAAGUUCUAAAUCCUUUUAUUUUGUCAACAUCCUAAAAUUAUAAUAAGAAUUAACUAUGCUUUGAUUGAUAAAACUAAUGGGGAUUUCGUUCUUAUUUGAUAAAAUCAAUAGUCAUUUCGUUCUUAUUUAAUGUGUUUCCAACUUGUGAGCAAUGGGAGGUAGAAAGCAAACUUGUCCACUUUCAAUUCCCAAACUCAUAAGAAUCAGACCUUUUUUUUUUCAAAUGAUCAAAUAAAUACAAUUGGCUACUUUGACAGACAGGAACAAUACAAGUGUCUUAACAUGUCGAUCAAAUGGCCAAAAGUAAGACGCAAUCCCUAAGUCUAACUUACAAUUGCUAAAAAUAACGUAAAAAUGGACCAGUAUCAUCAUUUUACCUCGUCUUUAAUGGUUGUCAGUUACACUAAAUAUAUUUUAAGGAGACAAUAAUAAUAAUAAUAAUAAUAAUAACAAUUUGAGUAGAAAUUAUCACGAACAUAUUCCUGCAUAUCUUAACAUCUUCAAAGAUAUGUGACUUAUUGAUGUGACGCUCCAUUUUAUCAAACAGUUGCAUCAGAAAAUUCUGAAGGGACUACAAAUGCCUUUUGAUGCAUAGAAGAUUUACAUUACUGACAAACCAAGGACAAAGCAGAAAGAAGCAAGUUUCGAUUUGUUUCUCAGCCAAAAAUCAAGUUCUUCCAUUAUCUUCUGUCUACUUCUUCCCCUAUUAACUCCAAUUUUUGCUCAGACCCUUGGUUUUGGAAUUGGGCAAGUAAUUGGAGGAGUCAAAGAGAAAGAAAGUAAACAAAAUAUAAAUAUAUAUAUCAGCAACUCCCUAGAUCUAAUCUGCUUCUGGCUCAGUUAGGUGAUCAGUCAUUAAGAUCUAUUGCCUCUCCACCUUCUUACUAGUACUCCCAGCCCUUUAGAGCAAAUUAUUAAACCAACCCUCGGAAAGUUCAGACACAUCCUUUGUAUUCCAACUGUGCAAGUGUAAUGUUAACCUAAGGUUCUCUUUCUUUUCAUUUGUAUGCUUGAAGAAAAAUCAACAAGAAAAUGCAAUACCAGCAGGUAUUAUUUGUAAUUCAUAUGGAAAUUAUCAUUAACAUAUGCCUACAUAUCGAAAUCUUCAAAAGGUUGUCAGAGUUUAUCCGCAGCAAUCCAAUCUAUUUUAUCAAAGACAGAAAAACUUAUGUUCAAGCAGAACAAUCAAAAGGGAAAGUAAAUGCCCGAAUUUUGAGCUAGCACCAAUAAAUUGAAGAUGUACAUUAUUGACAAGCCUAGAACAAUAUCAGCUUGAAAAGAAGCAGAUAAAAGCACAUAUUUAGACAAGAGAAACUUACAAACUACCUCAGUUUUUGUGCUGCAGUUGGGACACCAGAUGAACUCAAGUUGGCCCUUUCUGAAUCGUUUGCUGCACGAAAGCCAGCUGUAAUAAAUGUUACUAUUGAUCCCUAUGCCAGUACAAACUACCUCAGUUUUUGUGCUGCAUCCUACCACUUUCUGCACCGGCAUAGGGUUCAAUAAUAACAUUUAUUAAAGCUGGCUUUCGUGCAGCAAACGAUUCAGAAAGGGCCGACUUGAGUUCAUCUGGUGUCCCAACUAAAUAUCCUUUUCCCCCAAAAGCUUCCAUGAGCUUAUGAUAAGCUGCACCAGGUACAAAAGAAGUAGGUGCAGGAUCAUCUUUGAAAGGCCCUGCAAUUUCUUCAGGGUUUCUGCGAUCUCCACCAUACACACCACCAUUAUUAAAAACUAUCACGACAACAGGCAACUGAUAUCGAACCAAUGUCUGCAAAAUCAGAAGAAACAGAGACCACAUUAGUCUCUUUUUCCUCUCCCACCUUUUUCCAUUUAUUGGAUGAGGAUAUGCUAUACGUAUGAAUCAACUUUGGACUUAGACAAAGUAAAAUUCAUUUAUUCCAUUAAUUGAUUAACAUUGACACACUAUCUUCUAAAAAUUCAUUUAUUCCAUUAAUCAAUCUUCUAACUACACAGAUAUGCAAACAUCCAAGUGCGAGCACAUCACAAGCACAAAUUCUCAUUUUUCAUUCAGAAGGAAAGUGAAAAAGAGGGGGGGAAAAUGGAAGGUAUCUACAAUAAAAAACCCUCAUCUAAGUCACACAUCAAUGAAGAAUGCAAUAGAAGAAAUCUUUCCACUAAAUACAGAAAGAUGCACCAAGAACUACCCUUCUGAAAGCAAGGCAGCAAUUACGCAAGUUCGGAUUAGCUAAAACUAAAUCCGACAGUGGCCAUAUAGCAUUUGAUAAUUACAAGACUACUCGUUCACUAGAAUAGAACCAGCAUCAAAAGAAACUCAAAUAUCCAAAUCGUAAGAAAAUUAAGGAUAUAUUGAGAAAAGGAAGACACAGGGGAUAAAAGCCAUUUAGGAACCGUACCAUCAACUAUCGAUCCCUGAGAAAAAAGGAAAUGAGCUAGGAAACUAGAUAAAGUAAAACCUAAACAGUAUGUCCUAAAAUCAAGAAGCCAGACUGCCUGUAAUGAGCAAGCGAAGUUUUCCAAAUUUGUGACCAUCAUCCCAGUAAAUAAUGAAAUGCUUUAGAACGCAUGAUAAAGUUGAUGCUGGCACUCAAAGCUUUAAACAAGCAAGAUUUGACUUCCCAAACUAAGGUAGUCAGUCUCUCCCAUCAAAUAGAGAAGGAUCCAGUACAAGCUGAUGAUCAAAACUUAGAUUUGCCUAUAUCCACUUGAAACUGCAUCAGCCUUCAAAUUCUUCAAAAGUUAUUACCAUAGGAAGACAACUCACAAAUGUCCUAAAUCUUUAAAAUCUAAUAUUAGACCAUUGGAGAUGUGCCGCAGAUUUCAAUAUUAAAGCGAAAGUAGAAUAAAAUGGAACGCUAAAGAGAAUCUUAAAAUAACAAAAUAAUCAUAAAUGACUAGCAAUUUGCAUCAUGUUUGUUGAUGAAUUAAGGAAGUCAAGCAUGGUGUACAAGUUUAUUCUUGUGAAUAAAAUGUAUGCAUAAAUAUCGUUAUAUGCUAGAGAUCAUAAUUAUGCAAGAGAGCCAUACCUCAACCUCAACCGCACUGAACCCAAAUCCAGAGUCUCCUUCAACAGCAACCACAAGCCGUUCAGGGCAAGCUAUUGCAGCAGCAAUGCAAUACCCUAAACCAACCCCCAUGGUCCCCCAAGUCCCUGCAUCCAGCCUACAACGAGGCUCAGUUUGAACCAAUACUGCCCUACCCACAUCCAUAGUAUUUGCCCCUUCAGAUACCAAUAUAGGAGCGGGGCUCCCGACUCCUAAGAUCGCAUCUCUUAUAAUCCUCAUUGGCGUCAUGAAAUUAAACGGCACAACAUCCUUCACCAACUGAACCUCCAUUUUCAACACAUUGUCAUUCGUUUUCUUCCAAAUAGCCUCAACCCAAGGAUGAUUUUUCCCCAAACAAAAAGGUUCAUCUUUAAUCUCCUUAUUAAUCAUUUCCAACACUUUUUUAGCAUCUCCAACCAAACCCAAGUGUGGUUUCCUUAACUCAAUCUCUUCCUUGCAAACAUCAACCAAAACAAACUUCACAUCCUUCGACCACUUCGGUGGCUCACCAAAAUGCAACAACCAAUUAAGCCUCGCACCAACAACAAGCGCAACAUCACAUUGACCUAUGGCUAAUGACCUCGCAGCGGUAGCAGCAAGCGGAUGGGUAUCAGGCAACAGACCUUUACCCAUUGGAGUAGGCAAAAAUGGAAUCCCAGUGCUUUCAACUAAUUUCUUCAAUUCACCCUCAGCUCGCGCAUAAGCUGCGCCUUUCCCAAACACAAUCAACGGCUUCUUUGCUUCUUUAAGCAAAGACACCGCUUUAUCGAUAUCAGAAUUCACAAUCCCCCCUUGCGUCACCGUUUCUUUGGCACUCUCCGCUUCCUUCAGAAGCUUCUCCGCUUCAGAUACCGAUAUCGUUUGAUGUAAAACAUCAGUGGGUAGAUCCAAAUAACACCCGCCGGGCCGCCCCGAAACAGCUCGUUCAAGAACCUGAGCGACACACUUGGGAACUUCCGUAAUGUCCUUCGCUUUUACAGCAAAUUUCGAAAAAGGCUUGACGGCUUCCACUUGGUCGAGUUCUUGAAAAUCGCCGCGGCCAAAAUCUUUCUGAUCGCAGGAGCCGGAUAUCAUGACGAUUGGCCACGUGUUAAUCAUCCCAUUCGAGAGACCAGCCAGACCGUGCACGUAACCCGGACCGGAAACAGUUAACAGAAUGCCGGAUUUUCCAGUCAGGUAUCCGUAGGCGGAGGCGGCGUAGCCAGCGGACUGCUCAUUGUGGAAGGCGAUGAACCGGACGCCGAGCUGGACGGCCCGGUUCGCUAAGGAAGUAACGGGAAUGCCCACCACGCCGAACAUGUGGGUGGCACCGAAUAGUGACAAGGAUUUGGCCGCCAGGGUGUUGCCGUCGAUCUGGGCAUUUUGGGAAUUUUGCAACUCCGAACCCGCCAUUGCUUGCUAGAUGUGUGUGUUUGUGCUAAUGCCCGAGUGAGAAGUGGACGGGGCAAGGGUAAACAAUUUUUUUUUUUUUUUUUUACCACGAGUUAUUUUGGGGUGGAUUAACAGUGGGAGAUACUUCAAGUUCCUAUCAUAAUUUAGAGAGAGACACUUUUAAGUUCGUACCAUAAUUUAAAUUAAAAGUUUAAGUUCUCUUAAUAAAAAUAACUUUUCUAUAACUUAAAUUAAGGAAUAAAUUCAGUCAAACCACUUAAGAAAAAUUCAUUGUCAAUGGAACAACACUUUAUUGGUAACAAAUUCAGCUUUAGGUUGUUGAUAUAUACAUAGGUAAUGGACGAAAUGUCUAUCAUGCCCUUUCCGGCGAUGGUAGCUGGGACAGGUGCCAAUUUUUUUGCAAAUGCGACCAAAAUGGAUAGCUUCACCCAUAAAACGACAUAACUGGUAGUAGGUAUAGCGACAAUGCUUUCCCGAUUAUCAUUAUAUUUUUCUCUGUAGUUAUAAAUAAAGGUGACAAUUUGUUUCCAAAAGUAUCGUUAUUAAUCCUCAUCCGUUGAAUUAUAACACGUAAUUAUUACUUAGGGAUGAUAUUGCUUAAUCGGAAAGAAGGAUGUAAUAACUUUAAAAAAAAAAAUACAUAUGACAUAUAAGAGCAUCAUUAGAAAAUUCUUUUAAUUUAAUUUUUUAAAUACUUAUUUAUUUAUAUAUGUUAUAAAUAGAAGAGAGAAAAUAUCAUUUCUCAUAAGACUUUUCAAAUAAAAAUAAAUUUAUACUAUUUUACUCAAAUUUUUUCUUUCAUUAAAAUAAUAACAAUUAUAACUAUUCCAUCUCUUUAAAAGUAAUGAAAUAAAAAAUAAUAUAGUACGAAAUUAAGUGUUCUAAAAGACUCUCUAAAUAAAUUUUUUUAAAUUUCAAUAUGGACAAUUUUAUUUAAAAAUUAUUUAAAAACUCUUUUUAUUAACAUAACUCUUUAAAUAAAUAGUAAAUUUUCAUUAAAUUUUUUUUUUAAAAAUGUCUAUAACGAGAAAAAAAAUAUUAAUAGCAAGGGUUUGGCUAUGUUGGAGUUCACCUACGGUGGAGAACGAAUCUCAGCCACAUACACAAAAUGAUAAAGAAUAAAUAAUGAGUUAUAAUGAGUUUUUUAAUAUUUAUUACUUUGCGUGUGUGGUUGAGAUUCGUGUUCCACAGUAAGUGAACUCUAACAUAAUCAUAGCCUAACAACAAUUACCAAAUCAAAUCUUUGAGCACAUGAUUUUAUAUGGGCUUCUACAAAUUGUGGACAUCCAUAAAUAAAUUAGAGUUCAUAACCGAUUCUUGCUCUGACAUAUUCUGUUUAAUUUUUAAUUUAGAAUUUCUCAGUUACAAUUUACAACUCUUAUAUUCCUAUACAUGAAUUGCAAUGCCUUGGAUGCUUGUGUUGAAAUAUGAUGCAACCGAAGCAUGUGUGACGUUGUAUGACAUGUCAUGUAUAACGAAAAAAAAUGUACGACUUGUCAUCCUUAAACUAAAAGACACGUAUGACAAAAAAAAAAUGGUUAUCUCCAAUUUAUAUUUCCGAUUACAAUAGUCAUUGAUUCAGUGCUCAGCAAAGUUAAAUCCUAGUUCUAAUAAUAUACUCAGGGUUUUAUUUAUUUAUUUUGUAUUUUUAGAAAAAAAUAUUUGACUAACAAUCAUCAAGAUUGACUAACAUAUAUUACUUGACAACAAAUAAAGAAACUACUGCUCAAGAGACACUUUCAACAACGCAUAGACGUGAGGUAAAUAACAAGAGUGAAUAGACACUUAGGUAGUGUUUACUUGUUGUAGUAGGAGUAAGGAGUCUGGAUUCCUCCUACUCCAGUGUUUACUUACUAAUUUUAAAGGAGGAGUGAGAAUCCUACUCCUUGGGACCCACUUUUUUUUGGAGUGGGGAGUGGGAAUCCACUCCCCUCUCUUCCAUUUUUAUCCUAAUAUUUAAUUAAAUAAAAUAAAUAAUAUUUAAUUAAAUAAAAUAUUAUUAUUAUUUUAUUUUAUAAAUUAUACUUAUUAAAAAUAAUAAUUUAUAUUGAUUCUAAGUUAAAAUUACUUAAAAAUAAUAUUAUUAUACUCACAGAGAAUUAAUAAUAUUACUAUAUACUCUUUUUAUUUGAAAAUAUAAUAUUAUUAUAUUUAUUUAAAAAUAAUAGUAUUAUAUUUAUUUAAUAUUAGUAAUUAAUAAUAAUCAAUAUUUUAUUCUAAGAAAAUAUUAAUUUUGUAUUAUAUUAUUAAUAAUAAUGUUUCAUUUGUGUUGCUCUUAAUAAUAAUUUUUUAUUUACAUAAUUAAAAUUAAAUUUAAUAAAAAAAUAUUUACAUAAUUAAGAAUAUUAUUAAUUAUUAUUAAUUUAAAAAUAUAAUAAAAUAAAUAUUUUAUUUUUCAAAUCUAUUUUUUUAUUAAUUUUGUAAUUAAAAACUAUAAUUCUUUAAAUAAGGAUAAAACUGUAAUUUAAAAUCAUUUACUCUCAAUUCUAUGCUCUCAUUCCAGUGUAAGUAAACAACUUAUUCCCACUCCCACUCCAUACUCUACACUCCUAAUCCCAAAAUUCUCACUGCUCAUGAUUCCCACUCCAAUCUAAAAUGUAAACGCACCAUAAUUAAUUGAUUGAUAAUCGAAGUUCGAAGCCUCAGUGUGCUAACAAGCAGUAAAGUCAACAACACUAAGCUAUAAAUGGCAAACGUUAAUGCUCAUGAUGACAUCCAAAUCAAGUUCAGAAUCGUUGAACAUUUGAAAACAAUCACAACAGGAAGCUAUAAAUGGCAAAAGUAUGGAGGUGCCACUAUUGCCUGAGAGGGAAGAAGAGAGGAAAUGGGUGGUGGUGGUGCUACCACGGCUAUCCUUUUUGGAAGAGCUGAAGACGUUGAGCUUCUUAUCAGCGCCGCCGGCAGGGGUGGCCUGUUUUCGGUUCUUUUUGCUGGCUACAGCAACGAUGAUGGUGGGACACCUUGGAAAACUUUCACUUGAUAGUAUUGCCAUUGCUAACUCCUUAAUUAAUGUCAUCGGCUCCAUUCCACUUGUAAUAUUUUCUUCAUUCCCUUUUCUUUUUACCAUUAGAAAACUGCUUUACUUCUUCUUCUUCUUUGUUUCACAUCAAAGCAUGCUUCGUUUAUUUAAUCUAAUGACACUGCUUUGUAUGCCUUUUGUUUUGUAGCAAGUUAACAAUUUGCUUGUGCUCGCUAGAAAAUUGUUUAAAUGACUCAAUAUAAUCCACACAGCAAUAAUAUAACAAUAGCUAUUUUUAAAUCCAGAUCAACGACAAGCAACCACAACUAUAUGGUUAAACAAGUUAAAUCAAGCUCGUUUAGCUAUAAUAAGCAAUCAACUUUAGAACUUUAGCUUGACUUUCAUAGGUGAGAAUACCAAGCAGGUCUAUUUUGACUAGGCUAAGAUCAACAAAUUAAUAAACUUUGAUUAAUUAUUGGCGAAGAAUUAAUCAAUAUUACUUGGAAGAUAUUAAGAAACUUUGUUCACCUUUUCUGUCACUGGUCCAAAUAAUUUAUGAAGUACUUUUUUGAGCCUUUUUUUUUUGGAAAGGUAGUACUUUUUGAGCUUGAACAAGCAUUAUUAUAACUGAUCUUAGUUUACUCCAUAUUUUCCAUGCUACCGCUGUUUACAUAAAACGGAUUUUGGGAGAAUAGCAUAUAUUUCAUCAAUAAUCAAUUGAGACAUAUAAGAUUAGCCAACAAAAUGAUAUCUAAUGUGGACAAUGCCAUUAAAUUUUGAGCAGUUUGGUUUUGCCUCUGCAUUAGAGACUCUAUGUGGACAAGCUUAUGGAGCAGAGCAAUAUCAAAAGAUUGGAACCUAUACUUACCCUGCUAUGUUCUUUUGCAUUGCAAUUUGUAUCCCCAUCUCUGUUCUUUGGAUAUUCAUGGACAAAGUACUAAACUGCUAGGCCAAGACCCUGAUUUUUUUGUCGAAGCCUGCAAUUACGCAAUUUGGCUCAUACUGACAUUAUUUGGCUAUGCUAUUCUUCGAUCACUAUCUCACAAUCUCCAGGCUCAGAGCUUGAUUCUGGCAUUGUUCUUAAGCUCAUGUGCAACUCUUUGUUUGCAAAUUCUUCUUUGUUGGGGUCUAGUAUCUAAAACAGACUUUGGAAAUACAGGAGCAGAAUUAACCAUAGGUAUUUCUUAUUGGUUCAAUGUGAUCAUCCUUGCACUUUACAUGGGAUAGAACUCACACGGUGAUCACCAAGGAAAUUUUCCCUAGCACGAAGGAGUUCUCCUUCUUUGCACACCUUUCAGUUGUAAUGUUUUGGUAAUUUGCCUAUCGUACUUUGCAAUGUUUUUGUUAGUUUUCUGUUCUUAUAAAUUGACUUACAGUGUGCCUUUUGUUUCCAAUAACUAAAGUCUCGAAUGGUGGUCAUAUGAGAUUCUGGUACUGCUGUCUUGAAUAUUACCAAAUCCAAAACUUGAAACAUCAGUUCUUACAAUAUGGUACGUAUCUACACUUACGGUUUUGACUUUUGAGUAAACGGGGAAAAUUCUCAGUAGGGUUGAAUUGAUUUCCUUUGCUCUUCAUAUGCAGCGUUACAAUCCAGUCAACACACCAUUUUAUGCCAUUUGGUAUUAGUGCUGCCGCAAUGUUUGAUCUAUAUGUUGUUUCAAAAGCAUGCACUUACGAGUAAAUGAAAUAAUUCAUUACCUACUAGUUAAAAAAACCCUGAUUAAUUCUGUGUACUGAGCUGUAUCGCAAUCCACCGUUGUGCAGCACUCGAGUGGCAAAUGAAUUAGGAGCUGGAAAUCCAGAACCAGCUCGAUUGUCUACAUGUGUCGUGAUAUUUCUUGCAGUUGCAGAGGCAGCCAUAGGAAGCGUAGCUCUAUUCUGCUGCCGCAAUGUUUUGGCAUAUUUGUUCAACACUGACAAGGACGUUGUGAAUUAUGUGUCUGAAUUAGUUCCUCUGCUUAGCACUGCCAUUUUCAUGGACAGCAUGCAAUCAGUACUUUCCGGUCAGAAUCCCAUCAUUCUGUCAGGACUUUUAUUUUCACUCUUUUCACUCAGCUAGUGCUUCAGAGCUUGAAAAAGAUUUGAUGAUUUAUUUCUCACCAUUCACUUUCCUUAUCACAAGUAGCUAGAGUAAUUGGGUGACAGCACAUAGGAGCUUACGUAAAUCUUGGUGCAUUUUAUCUUGUUGGAAUUCCGGUAGCAUCUGUGCUAUGUUUUGUUCUUCAUCUUAGAACAAAAGGCCUUUUGCUCGGAUUAAUCAUUAAUGCCAGGCUCAACUGUCGCAAUUGCGCUCGCCAUCGUUACUUCUUUAACAAUUUGGGAAAAACAGGUUUCUAUUUCAUUUCACACUUUUUUCAAAUUAUCUGCUUCUUCAGCAGUGAGUUAUCCUUUAAUUUUGCUGGCUGACAUUGAUCUUUCAUGUGGAUAUCUUUCCAGGCUACCUUGGCCAGAGAGAGAAUAAUUAAGGGAGCAUCUUCAACUGAUAAUAGAUCGGUUCGAUGCAAAACGUAAUUAAACAUUUUGUUUCCAUCGUAUCAAAAUUUCUUAGGAUGUGAGCUGCGAGUAUAUACUGUUACAAAACCAAGACCAAUUUUGGACAAUGCUAUUGUUGUGGCAAUUAAUUUAUCGAAAACUUGGUGUGCAGAAGCAAACCCAAGAAUUUUAAGAGCAAACAAUGUCCAAAUCACCAAUACAAUCAAUUUUGUGAAAUUGAUUCACAAGGCUACGUCCUCGGAUAAUUCCUAGAUUUACCAUGAAAUUUUACAUUUAAAAGAAGCAUGAUAAACAUCCUUUAUUUUAAAAUUAUGGAUUCUCUCAUGAUUUAAAUUCUCGUAGGAGCAAUUCAUAGUGGUGAUGGUUAUUAAUAUAUAAAAAUGUAAUGAUAGUUUAGUUUAAUCCCAACCAUUAUUUGUGACAAACACUUGGCGCAAGAUCUUAGACUCUUAAAUCGAAAUGAAUAAAUGUUUUAAACCUCAGUCGCAUUUAAACUUGUAUAAACUAAAAAUAGUCAAUUUCUAUUUUAAAUAAUCACAUUUAAGAUAGUUUAUGUGUUGAUCAAAUACUUGUUUAGACUUGUUUAGGCUUUCAAACUAUAUAUGUUGAUCAAAUACACUGAGUAUGAGAUGUGGCUUGCAAAACAGCUAAGGCAAAAUAGUCCCCAAAUAAUUAAACCAGAUUAAUUUCCACAACUGACAAAUAGAAGUGUCGUACAUUUUUCAAAGAGCGUGUCUUAAUCGUGCCGAUUAACAUCCAAAAUGUCUUUGUUAUUAGUCGAUUACUACUAGCUAUUAUUGUUAUUAUUAUAACAGUUACCACGAAAACAUCGUCGAGAUAUUUCAUCCAUCUCACCCCAUUUUCAUGCACAAAUAAAUUGAAAAAGAAAAAUCACUUAUGAAUGAUGAGAAUCGAGCCUCUUGCAACAUAUCUACAUGGUAUAUUUUAACCAGGCACUGAGUGUAGCUAGGGACAACAUGCGAUGGUCAGCCUCUUGCAACAUACCUAAACUUCAGUAUGAUUGGUAAUCAACAAAAGUACUAGUCAAUCUUGACUUCAAACUCAAGGGAAGCAUCUUUAUCCGAAUUAAAGAGAUCCAGUCUAUCAUUUAUUGUUGUAUUGUUAGCAUACAAUUAUUACCAGAGAAUACAAGCAUAUAGAGGUUCUGCCCGAGGCUGAGAACGAAGAAGAGAAGAAGAAAUGGGCGGUAACACGGCGAGCGUUUGUGCAAGAGCUGAAGAAGGUGAGCUUCUUGGCAGCGCCUCUUGCCGGGGUAACUGUUUUUCAGUUGCUUUUGCCGGCUGUAUCAACGAUGAUGGUGGGACACCUUGGAAAACUUUCGCUUGCUAGCAUUACCAUCGCCACCUCUCUCACCAAUGUCACUGGCUUCACUCCACUCGUAAUUUUUUUUUCUUAAUUUUUACCAUUAAAAUGCCCUUCUAUAUAGGGCGUUACUUUUGAUUCUAUUUUCUUUUCUUUACUUUAGCUUGACUUUCAUGGGUGAUCAGAGCAAUCAACUUGAUAAAAUAGUAAGGGUAUAACAAAGGUUUUUCAUCAAACAAACAGUUUUAUAUACGUAUUUAGCUUAAAAGCUAUAGCUGCUAGGAAGCAAUACCAAAAGGAGUCUGAAUAUAUAAUUCGCUAUACCAUUCCACUCACCAGAGCGAAUAAUAUUUUCAUGUUCUGCUUGAGUUUGAACAAGAAUUAUACUCUAACUAACCAUUUUGGUGUGCUACUGUACUUAACUAGAUUUGCGAUAAUUGCUUAUAUGUUUCUUCUUUAUUUCAAUCUGUUAAGAUUAGCCUGCAACAUGAUAUCUUAGUAUUUGUGUUUCUGAAUCAGUACAAACUUGUCAAAUACAUGUAUAAUGUUGACGUUAACUUUAAAUUUUGAACAGUUUGGUUUUGCCUGUGCAUUAGAGACUCUAUGUGGACAAGCUUAUGGCGCAGAACAAUAUCAAAAGAUUGGGACGUAUACUUACUCUGCUAUGUUCUUUUGCAUUGCAAUAUGUCUCCCAAUCUCUGUUCUUUGGAUAUUCAUGGACAAAAUAUUAAUGCUGCUACACCAAAACCCUCAGAUUUCUGUUGAAGCCCGCAAUUAUGCAAUCUGGCUUAUACCAGCAUUAUUCGGCUAUGCGAUUCUUCGAUCACUGUGUCACAAUCUCCAGGCUCAGAGCUUGAUUCUAACAUUGUUCUUAAGCUCAUGUACAACUCUAUGUUUGCAUAUUCUUCUUUGUUGGGUUCUAGUGUUUAAAGCCGACUUUGGAAGUACCGGAGCAGCAUUAUCCAUUAGUAUGUCUUAUUGGUUCAAUGUGAUCAUCCUUGCUCUUUACAUGAGACACUCUCCAUCGUGUACAAAAACUCGCACUUUGAUCUCCAAGGAAAUUUUGCCUUGCAUGAAGGAGUUUACCGCCUUCGCUCUCCCCUCGGUUUUCAUGUUUUGGUAUAAUUUGUCAAUCUCACUUUGCAAUGUUAUUGUUAGUUUCUGUUAUUAUUGGUUUACUUACAGCGUGCUGUUUCGUUCCCAAUAAUUAUAGUCUUGAAUGGUGGUUCUAUGAGAUUCUGAUAUUACUGUCGGGACUUUUACCAAACCCCAAACUUGAAACAUCAGUUAUAUCUAUAUGGUACACUUCUGACAUCACUUGUGGUUUGCUUUUGGUGAAUUUUUUGGGGAAACUCUCAAUAGGGUUGAAUUGAUUUUCUUUGAUCUCCAUAUGCAGCUUUACAAUCCAGGCAACACACUAUUUUAUACCAUUUGGAAUUGGUGCUGCCGCAAGGUUUGAUCUAUGUCCUAUUUCAAAAGAGAUGCAAGUGGCAUAUGCAUUAUUUCUGUGUACUGAGAUUUUCUGUAGCAUUCGAGUGUCAAAUCAAUUAGGAGCUGGAAAUCCACAGCCAGCUCGGUUGGCUACCCGUGUUGCGGUGGCUCUUGCUGCCGCAGAGGCAGCCAUAGUGAGCAUAGCUCUAUUCUGCAGCCGAUAUGUCUUGGCAUAUGCAUUCAACAGUGACCAGGACGUCGUGAAAUAUGUGUCUAGAUUAGCUCCUCUGCUUAGUAUUGCUAUAUUCAUGGACAACAUGCAAUCGGUACUUUCCGGUGAGAAUCCUAACAUUCUAUCAGGAUUUAUUUGCACUCAUCUAAUGCUUAAAUAGCAGUGAACAUGCAGCUAAUAAUUUAAUUUUCGCGAAUUUACCUUUCUCGUCAGGGGUAGCUAGAGGAAUUGGGUGGCAGCACAUAAGGGCUUAUAUAAAUCUUGGUGCAUUUUAUCUCGUUGGAAUCCCGGUAGCGUAUGUGCUAUGUUUUUCAGUUCAUCUCAGAACGAAAGGCCUUUUGCUUGGAUUAAUGUCAGGCUCAACCGUACAAGCAGUUGCGCUUGCCGUCGUUACUUCAUUAACCAAUUGGCAAAAACAGGUUUCUGUAAUUCAUUUUUACUUUUGUUCUACGUGUUUGUUUCUUUGACAAUAUAUUAAUCAUCCUCUAAUCUGUUGGCUGACACUGAAUUUUUCAUAAUUUCAUGUGGAUAUUUUUCCAGGCAACCAUGGUCAGGGAAAGAAUAUUGGAGGGAGCACCUUCUACUGAAAAUCCAUCGGUUUGAUCCACCUGGGCUAGUAAUUAAUUACCCUGUUUUGUUUUUCAUCGUAACAAAUUACAUUCUCGAGACGAGAGCUGUAAAAUUUAACAGUGCUGGCAUUCUGACAAGCACCGGGUGACAAUUAUCGAACAGUUGGUAAGCAGAAGCAAAUAAACCCAACAAUAAGCACUAAUUUUUUAUAACAGCUAGUCAGCUACCACAAACAAUUUUUUUUUUCUUUAUAAUGAACUUCAGAAGAGAGAGAGAGGGGGGUAAAAAGCUAUAAUAAUAAUUAAAAAAAAAAAACUUAGAAAUAACUCCUAAUAAUAAUAAUAAUCAGGUGGAUCAUAGUACGCCACUACGCCUUAUAAUUCGUAAUAAAAGUAUACUGCUGAAACAUAAAUUUAAAAAAAAAAAAAAAAACACUCGAUGAGAUAACAAUACAAAGAAACAGCUAAACCAAUUAUUUAGAAAACCAUAUUUGCAUACCACAAACUAAUUUAAAGAUAACGUACGAUAUAACAGCAGUAGCAGAAAUAAGGUUGAUACAAUAAUUAAUGAAGCUCUACGCUACACCAAUUAGUGGUACCAUACCAUGCAUGAUCCAUCACACAGAGGAAAAAGAAAAAAAAAAAAGAUUUUAUUUAGCUUACUAUAUAUAUACGUAUUGCCAGCAGCCUGCAUGCUAGUACGGGGGAGGGGGAGGAUGAGGAGGGCGGUUCCAAGGCGGCGUUGGCCUGUAGGGAUCAUAGUUAUAAGGAGGUGCGGGACCGGGGGGGCCCGGAGGCGCUGCAAAAGGAGGGGGUGGAGAGUGAUGGUGAUGGUACCGAGGAGGUGGUGGAGGAGGCGGAUGGAACAAUUCGGGGCGGGGUGGCGGUGGUGGUGGAGGUGAAGGACCGUAAACGUGAGGUGGCGGCGGUGGGUGAGGAGCAUAUGGAUCUGCUGCCGCUGGUGGUGGUGGUGGUGGUGGAGGACCUGGACCUGGACGGUGGUGUCUAUGAAAUGCCAUGUUUUUGAAAGUUAGGUGAUCAAUACAAAGUGCUGUGCUGUUGUUUUUGUUUUAAGGGAUUUGGAGUUGUUUGUAUGUAUUUCCUUUGACGGUUCGUCGGAUGACGUGCCCAUGUUUGUGCCUCGGCUUCCUCAGCCAAUCAGAUUUUUAUUUUUGUCAAAAUUCGUUUCGUCUCCUCAUAUACUCCGUUUCAAGAGUGCAUCAUAUUU
rnacentral:lncRNA from 1 species